rfam:Callithrix jacchus chromosome 16, whole genome shotgun sequence
GUCUACAGCCAUACCACCCUGAACACGCCCGAUCUUGUCUGAUCUCGUGAAGCUAAGCAGGGUCGGGACUGGUUAGUAUUUGGAUAGGAGACCUCCUAGGAAUACGGGGUGCUGUAGGCU